rnacentral:rRNA from 1 species
GUAGGUAGCAAGCGUUGUCCGGAAUUAUUGGGCGUAAAGCGCGCGCAGGCGGUUCUUUAAGUCUGAUGUGAAAGCCCACGGCUCAACCGUGGAGGGUCAUUGGAAACUGGAGAACUUGAGUACAGAAGAGGAAAGCGGAAUUCCACGUGUAGCGGUGAAAUGCGUAGAGAUGUGGAGGAACACCAGUGGCGAAGGCGGCUUUCUGGUCUGUAACUGACGCUGAGGCGCGAAAGCGUGGGGGAGCAAACAGGAUUAGAUACCCUGGUAGUCCACGCCGUAAACGAUGAGUGCUAAGUGUUAGGGGGUUUCCGCCCCUUAGUGCUGCAGCCAACGCAUUAAGCACUCCGCCCUGGGAGUACGGCCGCAAGGCUG